CUCAUUAGCACACUGGGCUAAGCGCUGGUUCCCCACAUCCAGCAUCUCGGAUUCAAUCCCCGAGAAAAGCCUGACAGAACGACCCGAUCAACAUGGACCCAGCAGGUAGUGCCCAACAGGGAUGCAAGAGGUUGGCGCAGACGUUGAAGAAGCUGCUUCAGCGCGAGCAGGUCUUGCUGCAGCUGCAGAAGGAUCUCGACCGCCAGCAGGAGGAUCUAGCUCGUCGCCAGCAACAACGGGACCAACCUCCCCCGUGGUUCCCACUCUAUGAUGGCAAUCCGGGUGGCUGCAGAGGUUUUCUCCUCAAAUUCGAUCUGGAGUGCAGCCGCCGGCCCAUCACCCUCUCCUCCGACCGCUCCAGAAUUGCCUACAUGAUAAUCUUGCUCUCAGGCAAGGCCUUGGCAUUGGCAACCGCUUUGUGGGAGAAGCAAGGUCCCGAGUGCUCCAGCCUCAGGGCUUUUCAGGCGGUGCUGUUGUGGGUCUACGACCGGGUUAGCAUGGACAGCUUCGAGGCCGCCAUUGCCUCUGCUCUGAAGAGAGAUGCUGCCCUUAACCCUGCUCUCCCGGUGACGGCUGCUGCCGUUCCUGAAGCCGCUAACAGUCCCAGUGCACCAAGCAGCCCGGAGGCCGCCAGUCCGGAUGCCGCAGUCUUAGAUGCUGCCAGCCCGGAGGCCGCCAGCCCGGAUGCCCCAGUUCCGGAAGCCAGCAGCCCGGAUGAGCCUGACAGCCUGAAUGCUGCCAGCCCGGAUGAACCAGGCAGCCCGGAUGCCGAAGCCCCAGAUGCCGCCAGCCUGAGUGAGCCAGGUAGGCCGGAGGCCGACAGCCCGGAUGAGCCAAGCAGCCUUGAGGUCGACAGCCCGAAUGCUGCCAGCCCAAGUGAACCAGGCAGCCCGGAUGCCGACGCCCCAGAUGCCGCCAGCCCGAGUGAGCCAGGUAGUCUGGAGGCCGACAGUCCGGAUGAGCCAGGCAGCCUUGAGCCUGACAGCCUGUAUGCUGCCAGCCCAAGUGAACCAGGCAGCCCGGAUGCCGACGCCCCAGAUGCCGCCAGCCCGAGUGAGCCAGGUAGUCUGGAGGCCGACAGUCCGGAUGAGCCAGGCAGCCUUGAGCCUGACAGCCUGUAUGCUCCCAGCCCUGGUGAACCAGGCAGCUCUGAUGCUGCCAGCCGCGGCGAACCAGGCAGCCCCGAUGCCUCCAGCCCCGGUGAACCAGGCAGCCCCGAUGCCUCCAGCCCCGAUGCCUCCAGCCUCGGUGAACCAGGCAGCCCCGAUGCUGCUGCCGACCCGGACUCCGCUGCCGACCCGGACCCCGCAGCCCCGAUGCUGCUGCCGACCCGGACUCCGCUGCCGACCCGGACCCCGCAGCCACCCCCGCUGCCGACCCGGACCCCGCAGCCGCCCCCGCUGCCGACCCGGACCCCGCAGUCUCCGCUGUCGACCCGGCCCCCGCAGUCUCCGCUGCCGACCCGGACCCGGCAGUCUCCGCUGCCGACCCGGACCCCGCAGUCUCCGCUGCCGACCCGGACCCCGCAGCCUCCGCUGCCGACCCGGACCUCGCAGCCUCCGCUCCAGGCGCCCCUGUCCUGAGCGCCCCUGUGCUGAGCGCCCCUGUCCCGAGCACCCCUGGUGCCCCUGUCCAGAGCGCUCCUGUCCUCCUCCCAGGCAUCUGUGUUCCUGCCCCUGUUCCAGGCGUUCCUGCCCCAGGCGCUCCUGGUCCUGUCCCAGGUGUCCCUGUCUCCAGUGUCCUAGGUGCUGCGACUGCCCCAGCCACUAGUCCUGCAACCCCAACCGUCGCUGACCCAGCAACCCCAGCCACAGCUGGUGCUGCAACCCCGACCUCAUCCUCUGACUGCGUCUUCGCGAGCCUGGCCAAGGGGAUGAUUCUUGUUCUCGUCGGUUCCAACAAGGCCCCCAGGCGUCUGUCAGACCCUUCGCCUCAUUCUGGUCGCCCGCCCGGCCACCCACCAGACACUCUGCCCCUGCUUGGCCGCCCGCCCGGCCGCCCACCAGACACUCUGCCCCUGCUUGGCCGCCCGCCCGGCCGCCCACCAGACACUCUGCCCCUGCUUGGCCGCCCACCAGAUACUCGGUCCUGGUUCGGCCGUCCACCUGGCCGGCCACCUGACCCUUGGUUCCUGCCCUCCGGCCUUGUCCUUAACCCCCUCCACCCACCCUUUAUGGACUUUUGGAGUUUUCUUUGGGCCGUCUGGAAGCCGACCCUUAGAGGGGGGGUUCUGUCACGACUUCGGGCAACCAUUUGGCACAUUGGCGGCCUCUGGUGGCCAAAGGACAUCAUGAACUCAUUUGUGUCCACAUGUGCCUUUGUUGUCUUUGUGUGCCCUCACCUGUUCCCCAUUGUGAUUGGUGUUCUCACCUGUUCCCCAUUGUGUGCUCUCA
ensembl:lncRNA